ACCUUCUGUCACAUCACUAUGAGCCAUGAGCCUGUCAGGUCUCACAAGCUAAGCAGAGUGGGACAGAGUCCACACUUACAUGGGAGACCUCUAAGGUGUGAUUAGAUGAUACAGAAAGGG
ensembl:rRNA 5S_rRNA 5S ribosomal RNA